UCUUUUAUCUACAUACAAUAGAUAUGGAGAAUCACACAUUGGUCACUGAGAUAAUCCUAUUGGGAUUCCAUCACCUUCACAGCAUGAGACAUUUAUUAUUUUCUAUAAUUCUUGUUGUUUAUAGUCUGACAAUAUCAGGAAAUUCCCUCAUCAUUGUGUUGGUGUCAUGUUUCAGACACCUUCAUUUUCCAAUGUAUUUCUUUCUUACUCAAAUGUCCAUAUCAGAUAUUUUGUUGACAACAAGUAUUGCACCUCAUAUGCUUUCCAUCAUCAAUCAUGAAGGAGGUAUUAUAUCUCUUAAAGCUUGUAUAACUCAGUACUACUUCUUCGCUGCUUUGGAAUCUUUAGAAUGUUUACUGUUAACGGUGAUGUCUUAUGAUAGAUAUCUGGCCAUCUGUAACCCCCUGCAGUAUAACUCUAUAAUGGAC